rnacentral:rRNA from 1 species
UACGAAGGGGGCUAGCGUUGCUCGGAAUCACUGGGCGUAAAGGGUGCGUAGGCGGGUCUUUAAGUCAGAGGUGAAAUCCUGGAGCUCAACUCCAGAAUUGCCUUUGAGACUGAGUGGCUUGAGUACGGGAGAGGUGAGUGGAAUUCCCAGUGUAGAGGUGAAAUUCGUAGAUAUUGGGAAGAACACCGGUGGCGAAGGCGGCUCACUGGCCCGUAACUGACGCUCAUGCACGACAGCGUGGGGAGCAAACAGG